GGAUUAUGUGGAUUACAGUUCAAGGGUCAGGCCAUCUGCAGAAGAGAACUAAGCACUCUCGGAAAACCACAUUCUUAUGUGCUACAGAGCCCAGCAGAAAAAGAAACACUGCAUGUGGAACAUCUGUUGACUAUACAGAAAGAGCAGGUAUCCAGGAGUGAGGUCAAACAUAUGCAAUAUACUUUUAUUGCAUAAUUGAAAUGGUGCAUUUGGAUUUGGAAAUUCGCAGGUCUAGAACAAAAAAUAAUUUACGUGAAGAGGUGUAAAUUCCUGAAAAGUGCAACAUUGGGAUAUCUAAUAAGAGCAAGUUUGGGCUUCAGUGAGGAAACAAUAAAAAUUUUGCAGAAGAAGCACAUGAAUAGAUCAUGAGAGUGGGCAAACAGCGUAAGAAACUGUGUCUCACGUUGAUAUCUACCUAAAAGUAUCCAAUACAGAGGAAGCACUUAAAAAUAAGAGAAAUAAGUGGAAUCCUUGUAAGGAUAUAAAACACAAUUUGUCUCAGCCACUCAGCCGUCCAACUUGAACAAUGAGCCCAUUAAGAGAACAGGACGAAAACAAGGUUUUCCUUUCUUUGUCAGAUCUCACUACUGCCAUUGCUGAUAGUCCAGCCUGCCAACAUCAGAGACAAACAUAGAGCACUCAAUAGAGUAGCGUCAACUAAUGGGACAUGUCAAUCACUUAGCAAUAUAUUGAUUAUAUCAGACUUGUCCAAACAGUAGUCCAUUCUUAUUGGAAUAGGUGUUUCUCUAAGAUUUGGGUUUGCCUUUCUAGCCCCUGUGCCUUUGCUAGUACCAUCAUCCAGGGGUUUAUAUAAUGCCACGUUUACACCUUGGCACACAAUAUAAUAUUUACUUAAUCAAAGUAACCAUUUUCUUAUGGUGAGUACAAGUAUUCUUUUUAUUAUGAUU
rnacentral:lncRNA from 1 species